rnacentral:ncRNA from 12 species
AGCGGGGCACGCAACUGGCGAUAGGCGCGCAAGUCCCACCGGGCUGCGCUGCUGACGUGGAGACCCGCAAAAACAAGCCGUUUUUUGCAAACCACUGGGGAGCGUGCCGCGCGGAACAAGGCAGCGUUUGCCCCGCCGCGAUCCGUCGUUCGCCUGGGCAGCCCUU